rnacentral:tmRNA from 1 species
GGGGCCGUUCUGGUUUUGACGGAGAAUGACUUGGUAGUGGCUGCAGUGGAGUGGUGAUCUUUAACACCAAAAACAAAUAACUGAUAACAGUUAUAUGAGAAACGCCUCGCGCGUUUCGUAUGCCCGCGCCUAAUCUUCGGAUCUAGGCAACCUUAUUGGUCCCCUGCUUUGCAGGGCCGGCACGCUCUCUGCGGUUUCCUCGCUUCACGCGCACUUUGAGUGUCAUAACAAGGCGAUAAGCUUGGGCCGAUGACUAUAGGCCCAGGACGAAUAACGCGCUAGUCUCGCCUUAAGGGCUCGGUACCAUUCCUGCCUUAAGGCCAAACCUGAUGGUGCCUAAACUGUAGGCGCUGCUAUAGGGUCUUCUUCGGACCGGGGUUCAAUUCCCCGCGACUCCACCA